GAGCUUCAGCUCAUCUUUUUUGUCACCUGCCAUACCUUUGCCUCUAAGUGUCCCCCAGUUUUUAUUGCUGCCCUCUCCAUCCGCACCAGUGCCUCUCUCUGCCAGUUCCACUGUUCUCUCGCCUGCUCUUUAGGAUUUCCUUUGUUUUGCCUCCUUGCCUGGUGCUUUCAGCGAGCAGCGCUGACGUCAUCUCAGGAACCGUGCUGCGUCUGAGAGAAGAACCUGCAGUAGCUGUUUAAGUGUGCGGUGCUGGCAGAGUACCUCCCUGAAGGUGUCCUGGGGAAAGUGUGGUGUCAGCACAGCGGCAGGUCACCGUUCAGGAAGGACCCUUGUACCGCACGGAGGGCUCCCACAUCACUAUCUGGUGCAAUGUGAGUGGCUACCAGGGACCUUCUGAACAGAAUUUCCAGUGGUCCAUUUACCUGCCUUCGUCGCCAGAGCGAGAGGUGCAGAUCGUCAGCACCAUGGACUCUUCCUUCCCCUAUGCCAUCUACACCCAGCGCGUCCGCGGAGGGAAGAUCUUCAUAGAAAGAGUCCAGGGGAACCCAACCCUAUUGCACAUCACAGAUCUUCAGGCCCGGGAUGCCGGGGAAUAUGAAUGCCACACACCCAGCACCGAGAAGCAAUACUUUGGGAGUUAACAGUGCAAAGAUGAACCUAGUGGCAAGGCAAGUGAGGUGCUGCCGUCAUCCAGGCUGGACAGUUCAGUGAUUUGCCUGAGGCCCCACAGCAGGAGAACGAGAAGGCUGCCUGAUCAGAGAGUCUCUGAAGAAGAUUCUGUGGCUACAGGCUUCAGCAGAGUGUGAGGGAGACCCCGGUUAUUUCCUCAGCUGUUUCCACCAAAUCCUCCUGUCUUUCGUGGCCAACACCCCAGGCAAGGCUUGGGGCCCCCGUCUGCUGCUGGACGAGCCAUGAAGAAGAAGUUAGUGGUGCUGGGCCUGCUGGCCGUGGUCCUGGUGCUGGUCAUUGUCGGCCUCUGUCUCUGGCUGCCCUCGGCCUCCAAGGAACCUGACAACCAUGUGUACACCAGGGCUGCCAUGGCCGCGGAUGCCAAGCAGUGCUUGGAGAUUGGGAGGAGGGCUGUCGGUGGCGGUGCCUGGGGAGAUCCGAGGCUAUGAGCUGGCACACCAGCGGCAUGGGCGGCUGCCCUGGGCUCGCCUCUUCCAGCCCAGCAUCCAGCUGGCCCGCCAGGGCUUCCCUGUGGGCAAGGGCUUGGCGGCAGUCCUGGAAAACAAGCGGACUGUCAUCGAGCAGCAGCCUGUCUUGUGGGGGCAUUGUGACAGCUGAGGACCUGAACAACUACCGUGCUGAGCUGAUCGAGCACCCGCUGAACAUCAGCCUGGGAGACGCGGUGCUGUACAUGCCCAGUGCGCGGCUCAGCGGGCCCGUGCUGGCCCUCAUCCUCAACAUCCUCAAAGGGUACAACUUCUCCCGGGAGAGCGUGGAGACCCCCGAGCAGAAGGGCCUGACGUACCACCGCAUCGUAGAGGCUUUCCGGUUUGCCUACGCCAAGAGGACCCUGCUUGGGGACCCCAAGUUUGUGGAUGUGACUGAGGCCAGCUCUGGGGUCUCAGCAGGUGGUCCGCAACAUGACCUCUGAGUUCUUCGCUGCCCAGCUCCGGUCCCAGAUCUCUGACCACACCACUCACCCGAUCUCCUACUACAAGCCCGAGUUCUACACGCCGGAUGACGGGGGCACUGCUCACCUGUCUGUCGUCGCAGAGGACGGCAGUGCUGUGUCCGCCACCAGCACCAUCAACCUCUACUUUGGCUCCAAGGUCUGCUCCCCGGUCAGUGGGAUCCUGUUCAAUAAUGAAUGGACGACUUCAGCUCUCCCAGCAUUCACCAAUGAGUUUGGGGCACCCCCCUCACCUGCCAAUUUCAUCCAGCCAGGGAAGCAGCCGCUCUUGUCCAUGUGCCUGACGAUCAUGGUGGGCCAGGACGGCCAGGUCCGGAUGGUGGUGGGAGCUGCUGGGGGCACGCAGAUCACCACAGACACUGCACUG
ensembl:lncRNA novel transcript